AGCAGCCGCGGUAAUUCCAGCUCCAAUAGCGUAUAUUAAAGUUGUUGCAGUUAAAAAGCUCGUAGUUGAAUUUCGGGGUUAGUAGGUUGGUCAUGCCCUGCUGUAUGUACUGGUCUCACUGAUUCCUCCUUCCUGUGAACCGUAAUGCCAUUAAUUUGGUGUUGCGGAAGAUUGGACUGUUACUUUGAAAAAAUUAGAGUGUUUAAAGCAAGCUAACGCUUGAAUACAUUAGCAUGGAAUAAUGAAAUAGGACGUUCGAUCCUAUUUUGUUGGUUUCUAGGAUUGACGUAAUGAUUAAUAGGGAUAGUUGGGGGCAUUAGUAUUCAAUUGUCAGAGGUGAAAUUCUUGGAUUUAUUGAAGACUAACUACUGCGAAAGCAUUUGCCAAGGAUGUUUUCAUUAAUCAAGAACGAAAGUUAGGGGAUCGAAGACGAUCAGAUACCGUCGUAGUCUUAACCAUAAACUAUGCCACUAGGGAUCGGAUGAUGUUAAUUUUUUAAUGACUCAUUCGGCGCCUUACG
rnacentral:rRNA from 1 species